GAAAUCAUGGCUCAGGAUGAACGCUAGCUACAGGCUUAACACAUGCAAGUCGAGGGGCGAGCAUGACGAUAGCUUGCUAUUGUUGAUGGCGACCGGCGCACGGGUGAGUAACGCGUAUCCAACCUUCCCGUUGCUAGGGGAUAACCUUGCGAAAGUAAGACUAAUACCCUAUGAUGUUCUUCGCAGGCAUCUAAAGAGAACCAAAGAUUUAUCGGCAACGGAUGGGGAUGCGU
rnacentral:rRNA from 1 species